rnacentral:lncRNA from 1 species
GUGGUAAAAGAAGACAAGAGUGUGCUCAAAGAUUUGGUUGAUCUUCUGGAGAUAAGAAAAGCUGUAGAGACUGUCCACAACACUUCUAGAGUUCGUGCUCAUCCAUCAAGGAUCAUUAUGAAAAUUGAAGGAAUGGAGAUGAAUGUCACUUUUAAGAAGUUGAAGAAGAUGGUUCACCUGCAAACUUUAGAGAAGAUGAAGAAAAAUCUAGAGCAACCUCCACCUGAGAAUACACUGGAGCAAGUGGCACUGAGUACCAUUACAGCAAGGAUUGAAGAGAUUGAAAACAAGCUUACUCAGAAGAGAGUAGAGGAAGCUGCAAAGAGAAAAGCUGAGCAGAAGCUGAUUAAUGCAAGAGCCAAGAAACCAAGGAAAGAUUAGUUCAGGCUAGAGGAACAA